UUUGAAUCAGGACCCCAACAUUGAAAACAAUCUUCUGCCAUGCGUAGCUACUCAUCUCCUCCUUUUAAUUAUAUACUAGAUUUUGAUCCGUGAGAUUUAUUUCUUUUUAAAUAAAGAUUUUAUACAAUAAAUAUCGUCGGUUAUAAAUAUGGCGUGGGAUUUGUUAUAAAUAUUUUGGAUAUAAAUAUGAGUAGUUAUAAAUAUGGCAAGCGAAUUAAUUACGGAUGAAAUUUUUUUUUAAAAGAUAGAUUAUAAAUUUAGCAAGCGAAUUAAUAAAAAGAAAAAUCCAAAUCAGGGAAUGACACUCUCUUGUAAGUAAUUUUAAAAACUAUGAGUAGAAUUUUAGUAGAGAUUCUUUUUAAUAGUAUAGAUGGUACUUACUAUAUUUUUACCAAAUUGAAUACGAUAAAUCCCUGAAUUUUACAAAUCUACCCGUGCGUGCAAGUGUGCGUCUGUGGAUAGAAGAAUGAUGCUUCGGAAUAAGUAUUACAUGCGCAUAAUUUUAAAGGGAACUAUUUAACGGAAGCAAAUAUAUCCAUACUAUAUAUACAUAUCGUGGGUCGAACCAGCCUGUAUAUCCAAUAACUUUUUCUAUUAUAAACUUUCUCUUGUUCGAAUUAUCUACUAAAUAGCACCACUAGAGUCUCUCCCGGGCUACACCCGGGUUUUUUCUAUAAUUUUAGUUAAAUUUAUAACUCUAAAUUUAUAUUUGUAAAUGUACAUUAGAACCUAUCAUAAAAUACCAAUUAAUAGAAAAAUCAAGUUAUUUAUUUAUUUAUUGUUCUUUUUCAAUGAAUUUAAAAUGGUUAAAGCUCACAAUUGUUGUGUUGUCCAUUAGAAAUUGUAUAUAAUAUGAAGUUUGUGUUUUAAAAAAAAGUGUUUUAAAAAAUGGUCAAAAAUGGGUUGACAGUUAUUUAACUUUAGUAAUGUUCAAUUUUUUUGUUUUAUUGAUUAUUUUUAAUGUAAAAUAAUUAAAUUCACAAAUGAUUUAAACAUUGUUAUUUUAGAAUUAUUGAGUUCACAUUUAUAGGUCUUCCGUCUCAAGAGGAACUACAAAGCUACAUAUUAGCAAGCUUCUUACUUGGUCUAUUUCAAUUGAUAAAUUAAGUUCAUAAGUCUAACUAAGUUUACAGCUACGCAAUCUUGGUUUAUGAUACAUUUUGAAAAUGUUUUAUAAGUGACUGAAGAAAAAUAAUCUCUAGAAAAAUUGUUAAAUGCCAUUGAUGAGAUCUCGGUAGAAAUAAAGUAAAUGAAAUCUGAAAACUAUAGUCUUUCUAAGCCAAACCCGGGUUCGAAUCUCCACAAAAGCAGCCAAUUUUUUCUGUUUCAAAAAGAAAUUGAUUAACAUUGUUUCUGACUUUAACAAACAAUUAUUUAAAUCUGUUACUUUUUAUACUAAAUCGAACCAUCUUCUGAUAGAGAAUAAGUUGAGUCGAAAUAUCACCAAAACUAAAAAAGAGUAUUAUCCUCCAAAACGGGGCAUAGUUCUGUAAUGACCCACCACUCCCACCAUCUCCACUUCUUUCUCCAACCCCACCACUUCCAACUUCUUCUCCACCAUCUCCACCUUCUUCCCCACCACCUCCAUCUUCUUUAAAAUUAAGAAAGAGAGAGAGAGAAAGAGAGAGAGAAGAAGAAGAAGGGAGAAAGCUCACCUGAGCUCGUCGCCGGAGCCACCACACGCCAGACCGUUGAGCUCGCCACCACCAUCAUCCGCAACCAAAGGUAACCGGAAACCGCCAUAUUUUUGAGUUUAGUUUCGGCCGUUUUAGUAAAUCGACCAUAACUUCUUAACCGUUGCGAAUCUCGUGCAUCCAAGCCCAUUAUCGUGUUCCUCUCGUCGAGACGAAGCCAUAGACACCAAGCACGCCUCAAACGGAGCCCGGACGAAGCCGUACGCGCCUCCAGAAAACCGCCCUUCGCGCGCGCGUGAAACGCACGCGCCGCCGCCGGAAAUCAUCGCCACCGCAGCUCCGCCGCCGGACCACCGUCCGCCGCCGCAGCUCCGCCGUCGCCGCCGGCCAACUUUCCGAUAUGGAGUCUAUUUGAGCAGCUGGAGUUCAUAGACAACACUUUUCUAUUGCUAAGGUGAGGGUCUAUUCCCGAACUCCUCUUAUUCGGCUUAUGACCUCGAAUAAGUAUAAUUUAUUUCUAAUGUGUUCCGUCUGUGUGAAAUCGAGUCUGUCAUUGCUUGUUUAGUUUUAGGUUCUUUACAUAAACCGGAACUAGGGGGUUAGAGGAUUCAACAUUGAUUGUUUCACUUAAUGUAAAUUCUUAGCUAGGAUUGUUUUUGUUUGGAGACGGAUACAGAGUCGGACUGCUGUAUGCCGGAUUGUAUGGAGGUCACGGCCAACUUUAGUCGACCGGUUGAGCCGUAGACUGGAAGUGUCGAUAAAUCGUCUACGGGCGUGUGUUACCGAGCACUUUUUCGGUGUGUGUAUGAACCGAGCACCUUUUCGGUAGUGUUUUGGCCUGUUAGUGGGCGGCGAGUGUGCACCUCGCUAGGACCAUUGUUUGUUGCUUGAGUACUUUAGGUACUGUGUUUGACAUGCAUUAGAAUUAAAUUAUAUUUAUUCGGAGUGCUAUGUCCGGGUCCAUGGACUUCGGGGUGGCAUCCCAUACCUCACUGAGCGAUUCCCCUGUCGCUCACCCCUCACUCUUCCCCUUUUCAGGUGAGACAAACAAGUAUGUGAUAUUUGGACGGACUUGGUGCUAUUGGACUUUUCUUUAGGAUUUUAUUUGGGCAUGGGUGAGAGUUGUCGGGUUUAUGGGCUUUUAUAUUACGGGAUAUUGUUGGUGGCCCGUCGUCCUUAGUGUCAGGGAGACGGGUAUCACAUUGUUGUAUGAUGACGCGUCGGGGGUGACACGCUGUCCUCCAUAUAGGAGGUGACGGGUGUCACAAGUUCAUGAGAAGAUAAUACAAAUGAAAAAUAGGACACAAACUAAACCACACCAAAUAACGGCCAUGACUGCAAAUUAAGAAACACGACCUUCUCUCAAAACCCUGACUCUCUUUUUUUUCUUAAAUAAGUUAAGCUUCUUUGCCGGAAAAUAAGAUCCCUCACUCUUGCUUACUUAGUGAGGAAACUAUGCUAUUAUUUCUUGGCAUUGCCCCCAUCAUCACUUGUUAAAUAAAAGUUCUUCUUCUUUGCUACUGGCUUUUAUUUUUUCCCUUUUUGGUUGUAAAACAUCUAACGUUUGUCAGUAAAAAUAACUAAUGGUUUACGCUUUUCCUCGAGUAUCGGAACAUUACCUUUGGUAUUGAUAGUUGAUACAAAACUAUAAAACAAUAGUAAUUAUGUGAAUGCCACUUCAUAAUCAUUCUUCAGGAAUUAUUAUUGUCAAUCAUCAAUCAUCAUUCAUUUUAGUCAGACCAACCCAAUAUAUGAUUUGGAGGAACUUGAAAACAACAUUCAUAUCUCAGUUUCACAGUGCUAUGUUCUCGUAUGUCAAUAUCUUUGAUCCUAGUCAUGUGCGUUCAUCCAAAUUUAUGUACCCCACUGCAGUAGUUGGUAUGGUAAUUAUCUUUCCGUGCAAAAUUCAUUUUACUCCUUUAGUGUUAAAACCAUUCUAUGAGAACGACCACAACCCGUUUCUUGAUUUUCAUGCUGCAUAAUUCUAAGAGAAGAAAAAGCAAUUUAUUAGUUUAUUUUUAGUGUAUUUUGUCUCUUAAAGAACAAAUGACAGAGGCAAAAACUUUGAUGCUUUCACUUUUAUUUCCCCUUCUUGGGGUGUCUUUGCUUUAUUUUCCUUAACAUAUUAAUUUGAAUUUGUAUAUAUGCUCUUCUUCUUUGAUAUCGUCCUCAUUAUCAUCAUUGUACGUCAUCCAUCUCAAGGUCGUUUGCGGCAACAACCUCACCUAUGAACCACUAGACACAUGGAAGAUGAUUUUUUUAUUUAAUGGGUUGAUCUAUGUGAUAAACAGUGCACAUACUCAGAUCCUGAAACUAAAGUAACAUGCAAAGAAAACUAAAGAUAACAUACAAAGGUACAAACCGGAUAUCAUAGUCGUGCUCCAUUUGCCCUUGGUAAAACUGUUCUUGGGGAAGGCCAUACCAUGUCUACAUCAGGAUCCUACUCGUCAUCAGGAACUUGAGGUGGACUGAAAUAAUUGAAGAAACUCCCCAGUCUUAGUGAUGGGAUUUGUGAGUUUAUGAUUUUGGAUCCCUUCUUUGGCUUAUUUUUAGGACUUUCUUAUCCAAACAUUCUAUAGGACACCACUCAAUCUCCGUCCUGUACAAUAGUUAAGGAUCAGAAAAUCAUUUUUCUUAAGGAAAAAAAUGGCAAAUACAUGAGAAAAGAAAAAGAUCACCCAAUGGCCUUCUCGAGGAUUGAAUCAUCUUCUUCAAUCAUGUGAUUUGUCUUAUUCACCACAGUGUUUUUCAAGUAAGGGUUCUGAGCAAAGAAAAAGUGAAGCUUCAACUCUUUUGAAGGAACUUGAUGUUUUACCCAAGUGUCAAAGGAAUAAAUAAAAUAAAAUGUAUUUUGAAGGAAUAUAUCUAUAAGAUUCAACGCAUAUGUAUUAAGAUUAUAUACCCAUGUUGCAUUUGGAGAGGUGCGGGGGGGGGGGGGGGGGGUAAAUACAUUGCCCUUGAAAGCGCUUGAACAGCUCGCCUUAGCAAUCCAUCUCCAAAAACGUUGCUGGAAGUAUUGGAGUUAUAGUGGGGUUAGGUUGGAAGUUAAGAGAAAAGCUCUUUGUAUCUUACCUCAUCAAUUUCGGUAACUCAUUCCCUUCAAAGACGAUGAAAUAUAUGUUUAGCAACCAAGCAUGGAUCACUGGGCAUGCAGUACCAAAAUAUAUAAGGUGUAAGUCGAAGCACAAAUUAGACCACACGUUCUCCCAAACUUGUCAGAAACAACAGACCCAAGCUAAACUUUUACAUGAAGAUGUAAAUAUAGAUGUUGAACACUUCAAAUACCUUGUGAAAUCUUCCUCGUCUUCUACAAAUCCUUUCUUCUUACCGUUAGGUUCUCUCCAUGUUUUCCCAUCCAAACUUUCUCGAAUGCAGGGUCGCAAGUUCUUCAAGAAGCUAUCGUAUAUAUUCUUGAAAUGGAAAGUUUUAGAAUCAGAUAUAAUAAGCCAGUCAUGCUUAAAAGAGACUGGAGGCCAAACAAAGGAUUCUGUAAUAAAAAUCGAAGAGUUAUAUGGACCAAGCUACUACUUCACAAAAAACCAACAUUAAAGGUUACCUUGGCGAUUCUCCGCUCAAUAUGCGAGCUGCGUUUGUUGCUCUCCGCUCAUUAGACAUAUAGGAGCAAUUGCUUUCUUCAUAUGACCAAUCUACGUAGAAGUUAAAUUCCAUAUAAAAUGAGGUGAAGUUGGAGUACACUAUCAACUAAUAAAAUAUCUGAAAUUGUAUUUAUGAGUGAAGAAGAGUAGGAACAAUCUACAAACUACACAAGCUAAGGAGUAAAACAUUUGGAAUGAAGAAAAACUAACCUUUAUCCAGCAGUGUCAAUAUCUCUUCAAAAGUUUUUUCUUGCUUUGGUGAGAGUUCUCCUGUAUACGUUUGCUACACGAUUUCUUCAACAUCCUUCUUCAUGUUUAGACAAUUGAAGAGAAGACUAAAUCAGAAUUCAGAAAGAUUGAUUUGAUGAUUAAGUUUGUAACACUAACAGAUACAACAACAAUUAUUACCUCUCCUUCCUCAAUAGCAUCGUCCUCCAUGUCCCAUGAAAUACCAUCAGCCGUGGAUGCUUGCUGUCUUGCUCGGCGAAGUGGCUUGUUGUUCCGACAGCUACUGUCUCAACUUAGCUACUGUUAUUAACUGCAAGUGUUGAUAGUAAAAUCCAACAUCAGAGGCACAUCAACAAAAAGUAACGAAUAAAAAAAGUUUUUAAAAGUUAGUGAUUAACAAAACAAAUUCCAACACUUAGCCUCUACAAUAUCAGUGUGACUUAUACCUGUAUGAAAUGGCAGAGCAUAUCUAUUUUGCUUAAUUAUUCCUCUGCACCGGUCGGUGUUUCAUUUACCAUUCGUUGUGAUAAGAUGCUGCAUGUUCAGAUCGUGUGAUGGAUAAGGGAAAUGAAUGAAUUACUAAUCAAAUAGAUGAAUGGAGUUAUUGAGAAAACAAAAAAGAACAUUUUAGUGGUUUUGAUAUUUCUUUACACAGAUCUCACUUGGAGGUGGAAAUAGCCUUCUUAGUAUCCAUGGAAGAGGUGGAACCGGUGUUGCUUAAAUCAACCGUGCAACUGAUUUCGCGGGAGCCUUCAUCAGGGAUUUGAACGGUGCUUUGGUGGUGGAUUUCUCUGGUAAUUUUGGGCUGGUAAUCGCCUUCUUGAUGCAUUAGAUUAGGUCUGGGAUCGGUGGGACUAUAUAUACAUGGAGAUUGGGGGAGAUGAAUGGUUUUUUUGUUCGUAAAUGUAACUAAUAGAGGAAUACGUUAUGCUGGUGAAUCGGGUUUUAGGAUUGCGUUGAUUUUUUAGACGGCAAAGGAUACGAACAGAGACGUCCACAACAGUGACUUGGCCAAAAGUUCUUCUUCUGAUUGGUUAAUUUAAUUUGCUGAUGUGGACAUCUUAUGGGCUCACGAUAUCGUUAUCGUAAGAUUAUUAUUCGAAAGGUUUCUUGUGAUUUUAAAGAUUUAUGGAAAAGUAUAGCGAUUUUUUUUAAAAAAAACUUUAUAUAUAUAUGGUUUUAUAUCUGUUA